rnacentral:rRNA from 1 species
AUGGCGGGGAUGAAUGGGAGAUCGAUUCAUUUCGAGGUCGUCCAUGGUGGAGUUUUUUUUCCUCCUUUUUUGCGAGGAGGUCCAUGGUGGAGUUGCAACAACAGCGCAUUCCAAGAGAUUAUGUAUCAUUGCAUUGAUAGGAGAGUGGAAAAGUACAACGAACGGUUAUACAAUACACGUCCGCAAAUUGACGUUAAGAUGAUGACGAGAGCAAGACAUGGGGUGCUCAUAAAGAAUGCAACCAUUGCGGUGUUUCCAAAGCCACCAGACAUGUGGAUGAUGAUAGAAGAUAGCCCUCAUCGGAGAGACGAUGGUGACUGUGAGCAGGGGAUGGCCCACAAGUCAGCGAAGGUCAUCAUCAAUGAAGGAAAAACUUUCGUGGAGCGACACCAGGCAAGCACGUCGUGCCAAAUCUGGUGGGAGAAUGAGCAACUGAUGAGGAGGCGCUAG